AUACGGAGGGUGCAAGCGUUAAUCGGAAUUACUGGGCGUAAAGCGUACGUAGGCGGUUAUUUAAGUCAGAUGUGAAAGCCCCGGGCUCAACUUGGGAACUGCAUUUGAAACUGGGUAACUAGAGUUUAGUAGAGGGGAGUGGAAUUUCAGGUGUAGCGGUGAAAUGCGUAGAGAUCUGAAGGAACACCAGUGGCGAAGGCGACUCCCUGGACUAAAACUGACGCUGAGGUACGAAAGCGUGGGUAGCAAACAGGAUUAGAUACCCUAGUAGUCC
rnacentral:rRNA from 1 species